UAUACGCGAUUAUGCAAGAGACGUUGCAAGCAUUAGGUGGUAAAGAAAUGGUGGUGGGACAUACUCCUCAAACUGAAGGCAUAAACUGUAAAUACGGUUGUUGUAUAUGGCGUGUGGAUGUUGCAAUGUCCAGCGGAGUCCUUAAUUCAAUACCGGAGGUUCUAGAAAUAAUAGACAAUGAAUCAAGGGAAAUAAGGAGCGGAACAAAUAUGUUUAGCGAAUUUCAGGUUGUUGACUACAGAUGGAUAUUCCUACAUCCGAUAAGGCGAUUAUUAGAAUUGCUAGAUAUAUUUCAACUCUAUUCAAUUAAUUCUUCAUUUGGAAACCUGGAAGUUGGCUUACUGGGUAUACCAAUUGAUGCGGUGGUGGAGAUUUGCAGCUAAAAUUUGUGUUGAAGUUCAUCCCGUUGCGAUACUGCUGGUCAAGGGAAAUUUGGGGGCCUUAGAGAUGGAUAUUAGAGACUUUUAUUGAGGAUUGGGGUUGCUUGCAAUCGCAGGAAAAAAUUAAUCGUGUGGUUGAAAUGCUCAUUACAAGAAGCUGAGGUUCUGUAAGCAAGCCAAGCAUUAUUGGACUUUCAAGUGAGAGUACUUUGACCUACAUUGCUUAUCAUUAAGUGCCAUACUACUUCGGUAUUGCAGAGACCUUAAUUUGUAUCAUAAUUGAGUUUGAGUGGUAGUAACUGGUUUAGUCAAUUGAAUUUCGUAUGUUGAUUUAAUUUCUUUUUGUCUUGUUUGCUCGAAAUAUGGCAUUCUUUGCUUUCCAACCCAUUUAAGCUUGGACCUGUAACAUACCAACUGAUUUCUACCCCUUCAUUUUUGCAAGAGAAAGGACUUAGGGAUGAAGUUCAGGAGCUUAACUCUCGAUUGCUAAAUCAAGAUGCGUACAUUGAAGAACGCUGAAUGGUGAAUAAAAAGCUGGAAUCCUGCACUCCAAAGUAUCACACUGGCUCCCUCCGUUCAAAGAAACAAAGGUAUUUGGGCUUAAGUCAAAAAGCAGUACUUGGUGAUAUUUUAGCAGCAGCUGCAUCUACGUAUGAUUUGCUGAGGAAGUUUGUUAAGCAAGCGGAGUCUCGUGAUACAUUCUGGUGAUAUUUUAGUCCUCCUUUCCCUGUUUUUCAAUGCCUCUGUCAGUUGACACAAAUUAACUAGGUUACCCAUUCAUUUAUAAACAUCAACACAGAACGAAAGUUGUAUGUCAGUCACAAAAUUUUGGGUUAUGUAACUUGUGUACAUUUCUAUCAAUUGAAGAAUCCUUUCUUCUAUAAUAUUAUCUAGUGGUGAUUCUCAGUAAGAUUCUCCACAAUACAGUUUUGUAUCACCAUUGUAGUUUGUACAUCUGUGUGGAUGUUGAAUAUGGGGAACUGGGUAAUUGCAGGGGAGGAAAU